rnacentral:rRNA from 1 species
AUUGAACGCUGGCGGCAUGCUUUACACAUGCAAGUCGAACGGUAAUAGGCCUUCGGGUGCUGACGAGUGGCGAACGGGUGCGUAAUGCAUCGGAACGUGCCCAGAGGUGGGGGAUAACGCAGCGAAAGCUGUGCUAAUACCGCAUGUGAUCUGAGGAUGAAAGCGGGGGACCAGGCAGCAAUGUUUGGCCUCGCGCCUUUGGAGUGGCCGAUGUCAGAUUAGGUAGUUGGUGGGGUAAAGGCCUACCAAGCCGACGAUCUGUAGCUGGUCUGAGAGGACGACCAGCCACACUGGGACUGAGACACGGCCCAGACUCCUACGGGAGGCAGCAGUGGGGAAUUUUGGACAAUGGGCGCAAGCCUGAUCCAGCAAUGCCGCGUGCGGGAAGAAGGCCUUCGGGUUGUAAACCGCUUUUGUACGGAACGAAAAGGCUCUGGCUAAUACCUGGGGCUGAUGACGGUACCGUAAGAAUAAGCACCGGCUAACUACGUG